UUGUGAUUUUCAUCUGAUCCUGCCUUUGCUUCCUUGUAAAUUUAGUCAAUAGCUAUGGAAUUCUUAUCUAUUUUUGUGGAAACUAACUGAUUGCUUGAUCCAGCCAGUUGCGCGGCAGAUUGGUUAUUUCUACUACUACAAGAGAAACAUGAGAUGUAUGGAUAAAGAAUGUGAGAAGCUGAAGAAUAUCAGAAUGACAAUGCAGCGAAAAGCGGAAGAUGCCAGGAGAAACUUACAA
rnacentral:misc_RNA from 1 species